rnacentral:rRNA from 1 species
UACGUAGGGUGCAAGCGUUGUCCGGAAUUAUUGGGCGUAAAGAGCUCGUAGGCGGUUUGUCGCGUCUGCCGUGAAAGUCCGGGGCUCAACUCCGGAUCUGCGGUGGGUACGGGCAGACUAGAGUGAUGUAGGGGAGACUGGAAUUCCUGGUGUAGCGGUGAAAUGCGCAGAUAAUCAGGAGGAACACCGAUGGCGAAGGCAGGUCUCUGGGCAUUAACUGACGCUGAGGAGCGAAAGCAUGGGGAGCGAACAGG